rnacentral:rRNA from 1 species
GACGAACGCUGGCGGCGUGCUUAACACAUGCAAGUCGAGCGGACAGGCCCUGCUCUUGUUGGUUGCUCGAGUGGCGAGCGGGUGAGUAACACGUGUGUAACCUGCACUUGUCAGUGUGAUAACAUCUGGGGACUGGGGCGAAUACCGGGGAGGAGCUCCUGCUGCAUGUUGGUGAUUAGAAAAAUUCGGCGGUUCUGGAUCGACUCGAGGCUUAUCAGCUUGUUGGUGGGGUAGUGGAGUACCAAGGCUUUGAAGGGUAGCCGGCCUUAGAGCCUGACCGGCCACCAUGGGCCUGAGGGACGGCGCAGACUGCUACCGGAGGCAGUGGUGGGGAACCUGGCAGAAUGGGCGGACGCCUGAUGUAGAGACGCCGCGUGCGGGAUGAUGGGCUUCGGGGUGUAAACAGCUUUCGCCGGUGACGAACCGUGAGUGACGGUAAUGGGUAAAGAAGCACCGGCUAACUACGUG